AAUGUAAAGUUUUUCCAGUGAAACAAAACGUAAGAAUCUGAGUUUGUUUUUCAAAGAUCACUAAAUUUUAGUUAUGAUUAUAUCACAUUUUCCAAAAUGUGUGGCAGUUUUUGCCCUCCUUGCUCUGAGUGUUGGUGCACUGGACACUUUUAUUGCUGCAGUAUAUGAGCAUGCGGUGAUAUUACCAAACAGAACAGAAACACCUGUUUCAAAAGAAGAAGCUUUGCUCCUGAUGAACAAGAACAUAGAUGUUUUGGAGAAAGCAGUUAAGCUGGCAGCGAAGCAGGGUGCACAUAUCAUUGUGACCCCAGAAGAUGGAAUCUAUGGUUGGAUCUUCACCAGGGAGAGCAUUUACCCCUAUCUAGAGGAUAUACCAGACCCUGGAGUGAACUGGAUUCCAUGUAGAGACCCCUGGAGAAAUCACUAAAAUAUAGUAAGUUUGAGGAAAUGUCUAUUGAAUUAGAUUCGGCAACACACCAGUGCAACAAAGACUCAGCUGCCUGGCCAAGGACAACUCUAUCUAUGUCGUGGCUAAUAUUGGGGACAAGAAGCCAUGCAAUGCCAGUGACUCUCAGUGUCCCCCUGAUGGCCGUUACCAAUACAACACUGAUGUGGUGUUUGAUUCUCAGGGAAAACUGUUGGCACGCUACCAUAAGCAUGGUACAACACGCUGCCCCUCCUCUCGGCUGUUCCCUUCCAUUCAGCAUGGGCCAAGGCCAUGGGAGUCAAUCUACUUGCUGCAAAUACCCACAACACCAGCAUGCACAUGACAGGGAGUGGAAUCUACGCCCCAGAAGCAGUCAAGGUGUACCACUAUGACAUGGAAACAGAGAGUGGUCAGCUGUUGCUAUCAGAACUGAAGUCUCGGCCCCGCCGUGAGCCCACCUACCCUGCAGCUGUUGACUGGCAUGCGUAUGCCAGCAGUGUCAAGCCAUUUUCCUCUGAACAGUCAGAUUUUCUGGGGAUGAUUUAUUUUGAUGAGUUUACCUUCACCAAGCUUAAGAGAAAUACAGGAAAUUACACAGCUUGCCAGAAAGAUCUGUGUUGUCACUUAACUUACAAGAUGUCUGAGAAGCGAACAGACGAGAUCUAUGCCCUAGGUGCUUUUGAUGGACUGCACACAGUAGAAGGCCAAUAUUACUUACAGAUAUGUGCAUUACUGAAGUGUCAAACCACUGACCUGGAAACGUGUGGAGAACCUGUGGGGUCAGCUUUUACCAAGUUUGAAGACUUCUCCCUCAGUGGCACAUUUGGAACGCGUUAUGUUUUCCCACAGAUCAUUCUAAGUGGGAGUCAGCUUGCCCCUGAAAGACAUUAUGAGGUAGGAGGUGUGCAGGAUGAUAAAUUCCUUUGAGCAGAGUAGAUGGGUAGAGCAGCAUAAUGAAAAUCUUUGAAAUAAUGAGAGUAUAGCAAUAUCGUGGUUCACAUUCUACAAGAAACACCUUAAAUAUGUGGAAACUAUGAUAUGGAAUAUAAAUUGUGGUUUUAGAUUGCCAUUAGGCUGUGAUGGAGAAUUUGGGGUUCAUUUUUUUAACAUAAAUGUGAUGUUGAUAUUCAAGGCAACAGGAAAUUCACAGAGAAGCUAAAAUAAAAAUGUUGACUGCUGAUAAUGGCAAUAAUGUUGUCAUUUGCAUGGUGUAGAAGGUGCAAAUUAAAUACAUUAAAUAAUGCAUCUACAACUUAUUUUCUGGGUAUACUAUUUUGAGAAGUUGUUAUAAUUAUAGUAAUAACUAAUAUUUUGUAUAGUGUUUCAUGAGUUUGAAGAACAUAUUUUUAUACAUAUUAUUUGACCACCUGUGCAACAAAUUUGUUGGCUGCACUUUCGCACAAAGUCCCUCUACUUUCAGACUUGAAACAUGAACCUGGGUCUUCCAACACCAAAUCCUGUGUGAUUUUUACCAUUCUACACUGCUUUAGGAGGGAGUGAUCUUGCCUGAGAAGGGCUC
ensembl:lncRNA VNN3P vanin 3, pseudogene